UACGUAGGUGGCAAGCGUUGUCCGGAAUUAUUGGGCGUAAAGCGCGCGCAGGCGGCUAUGUAAGUCGGGUGUUAAAGCCCGGGGCUCAACCCCGGUACGCACCCGAAACUGCGUGGCUUGAGUGCAGGAGAGGAAAGCGGUAUUCCACGUGUAGCGGUGAAAUGCGUAGAGAUGUGGAGGAACACCAGUGGCGAAGGCGGCUUCCUGGCCUGUAACUGACGCUGAGGCGCGAAAGCGUGGGGAGUAAACAGG
rnacentral:rRNA from 1 species